rnacentral:rRNA from 1 species
AGUGAACGUUGGCGGCGUGGAUUAGGCAUGCAAGUCGAGCGAGAACCGUAGCAAUACGGAGACAGCGGCGAAAGGGACAGUAAUGUGUAGGUACCUACCCCGAGGUCUGGGAUAGCUGCGGGAAACUGCAGGUAAUACCGGAUAAUGUCUUCGGACCAAAGGUGUGAUUCCACCUUGGGAGGGGCCUGCAUCCUAUUAGCUAGUUGGCGGGGUAAUGGCCCACCAAGGCAACGAUGGGUAGCGGGUGUGAGAGCACGACCCGCGUCAUUGGGACUGAGAUACUGCCCAGACACCUACGGGUGGCUGCAGUCGAGGAUCUUCGGCAAUGGGCGAAAGCCUGACCGAGCGACGCCGCGUGCGGGAUGAAGGUCUUCGGGUUGUAAACCGCUGUCGUAGAGGAGGAAAUGCAGGGGGGUUCUCCCUUCUGUUUGACCUAUUCUAGGAGGAAGGACGGGCUAAGUUCGUGCCAGCAGCCGCGGUAA